GGUGCUGUGGUAUAGUGGUAUAUACGCAAGACUACAAUGUUAUAUUCUAGACUAGAUAUAUCUGUCUUGUUCCUUCGGGAGUGUCCGUUCGAAUCGGGCCGGCACCG
rnacentral:tRNA from 1 species